AGUGAACGCUGGCGGUAGGCCUAACACAUGCAAGUCGAACGGCAGCACAGUAAGAGCUUGCUCUUACGGGUGGCGAGUGGCGGACGGGUGAGGAAUACAUCGGAAUCUACUUUUUCGUGGGGGAUAACGUAGGGAAACUUACGCUAAUACCGCAUACGACCUACGGGUGAAAGCAGGGGAUCUUCGGACCUUGCGCGAUUGAAUGAGCCGAUGUCGGAUUAGCUAGUUGGCGGGGUAAAGGCCCACAAAGGCGACGAUCCGUAGCUGGUCUGAGAGGAUGAUCAGCCACACUGGAACUGAGACACGGUCCAGACUCCUACGGGAGGCAGCAGUGGGGAAUAUUGGACAAUGGGCGCAAGCCUGAUCCAGCCACACCGCGUGGGUGAAGAAGGCCUUCGGGUUGUAAAGCCCUUUUGUUGGGAAAGAAAAGCAGCAGGUUAAUACCCCGCUGUUCUGACGGUACCCAAAGAAUAAGCACCGGCUAACUUCGUG
rnacentral:rRNA from 1 species